rnacentral:lncRNA from 1 species
UUGGGUUGGUUCUGGUUCCUCGGGCACUCCCUUGCAUAAUGUUGGGUGCUACCAUAUAUGCGGUAGGUGUUGUUGAGGACAUAGCAGGGUCAGUCCAUGAUCCUUGCCACAAUGCUGACAGAUCUUACUACGUCCUGCUGCUGGAACGUGAGAAGGAGCCUGAGUCAUCGGCCUGAGUCUCUUGUUCUGUUGAACAGGUGUAGUAGGUGCUGCUCUGUGGUGUGGGGCUGAAGACCUGAGGUUCCCUGCUUCUUGAGGGAAGGUGCGAAGGCUCCUAUCCACUAACUGUGCCUUGACCAGAACAGCUGAAUAAGCACUGAGCUCGAGCACAAACAACUACUGUCUGAUCUUAGGAUGGAAACCCCACUCGAACCUUCUAGCUUUCUUACCUUCAUCCAUCAU